ensembl:lncRNA
UUUUUUUUUUAAUUUUCCCCUCCGUGAUUACUUAAAAAGACUAUUUCAAAUGAAAAAAGCAAGCCUUAAAGAAGUCUGAAGUGGUGUAAAGAACAAGUAUUCUAAUUUCUCAAGAAGAAAUUCCACGCAUCUUCCAAAAGAAAGGAUUUACCCAGCUAUUCUGCCUGUUUUCCCCAUCAUUUCUAGUAAUUACUAUAUUAGUACCUUUUACUACUGUAGUUAUAUCACCAUACCAAGAUUAUCUUGAUGCUUAUAUUCUUCAGCUACUUGGAGAAUGUUACGGUUCCCUAAAUCAUACUCAUUACUGUAAGCAUUACUACUCGUACUUCUGGUAGAACUUAAGAGGUUCCUGGUACGAGUCAAAACUAUUUUGGCAAAAUUUACAAAAGCACACCUAAUAUCAUCACUUCCAAUCUAACCAUGUGCAACAAAUACAUAGACUUCAUCAUACAUUGUAAGAGAAAACCUUGUCUUGCUCUAUACUCAUCAUUUUCCUCUGAAACACACCAUUCACCACCACACUGUGCUCACAUUCACACUUUUGCCUCCCUAAAAGUUCAGCAAGAACUGCUGAACGCCAGUGAGUGCCCUUUUUUUCCAGCACCAAGUAAUUCAGUGACACACCUGUGCCUCAUCCACGCUCCCAUAUCAGGCACCAUUCUGUCAGACUGCAGACAGCAACAGAAGUCAUGGGGCACUGACAGGAAGGUUCAAAAUCUACCACCAACAUCCUCUUCCAACAUUACAGUCCAACACACUAAAGAAGGAGGCACUAACAGAGCAGACCUAAUAGGAAGUCCUCCAGGUUUCUAAAUGCAGCUGAAAAGCUCACAUUCGUGCACACCAUCAUCACCAUAGGUAAAGCAGACAGACAAAAUUGUACUACCCAUUUUUGUACUAUCAUCUCUCACCUGUAAGCUGAGCACCCACAUUAGCAAAUCCACUGACACACAGUUUAACAUGUUUGCUUUUUGUUCCCUAAUAUACAUUCUUGUCUUGUUGUUGAUGAUUUUUUCUUCAAAGUAGUCCCUUAAUUUGAUAAGAGUUUUUUCUGGUGCAGAUAUUUCCAAUGGCACCAUUCUUUUCUGAUGAUCAGGGGCAAUAGCUGAACAUCACCACCCAUUUUAUUCCGGUGACGUAGCUGUGGGCAUUAUAAGGCAAUCAUUCUGCAGUCCUCUGAGCUGUUUUCAACUUUCUUAUCUUCACCACGUAAUGAAUGUUAAGUGCUGUAUUCAUCAAAUACUAUCAAGCAAAGUAGAGUAUCUUCUAGACAAAGGAAAUAUGAAUAUGACCUUUGCAUAACACUGAACAGGAAGUUAAAUCAAUACUUCUUAAGAUCUAAAGGCCUUAGGAACAUAACCACCUUAUUUAUGUAUUAAGGACGUAACGCAUUUACAUUCUCUCAUUCAUUAGAUUUUUCAUUUAUUCCUCUCCAGCACUUCACCUCCCUUAUUGCCUGUACCAAGUGGGCAUGUUUUUCACAUUUUGGUCAACAGGCAACAAUAUAUACAGUAUCAAGGGAAAAAAAAGCAUUCCACAGAACACGACAAAUUAGUUCUAGAGUAUUUUUUAAUCAAAAAAAACCAUUUUUUUAGAAGCUACAGCCAAAAAAAAAAAAAAAAAAAAGAAAGUGAC